CCUACGGGAGGCAGCAGUGAGGAAUAUUGGUCAAUGGACGCAAGUCUGAACCAGCCAUGCCGCGUGCAGGAAGACGGCCCUAUGAGUUGUAAACUUCUUUUGUACGAGGGUAAACUCAGAUACGCGUAUCUUUCUGAAAGUAUCGUACGAAUAAGGAUCGGCUAACUCCGUGCCAGCAGCCGCGGUAAUACGGAGGAUUCGAGCGUUAUCCGGAUUUAUUGGGUUUAAAGGGGGCGUAGGCGGUCGGAUAAGUUAGAGGUGAAAUCCCGGGGCUCAACUUCGGAAUUGCCUCUGAAACUGUUCGGCUAGAGAGCAGUUGCGGUAGGCGGAAUGUGUGGUGUAGCGGUGAAAUGCUUAGAGAUCAUACAGAACACCGAUUGCGAAGGCAGCUUACGAAGCUGCUUCUGACGUUGAGGCACGAAAGCGUGGGGAGCAAACAGGAUUAGAUACCCGGGUAGUC
rnacentral:rRNA from 1 species